UACAGAUUAUGAUACAGAAUAGAGAAGAGGAGCAAAUGCAAAGAUGAUUCCUUUGACAAGAUGAAAAACGGUACUCUAAUACACCUGCUUUGUGCUGCUACCACAAACAUGAGGAAACUUCUGUUAGGAGUUCAACCUUCAGAGAGGACAGCUGGCAGUGCAAGAUGGUGACAGCCCUGCAAUCAGGAGAAGAAAGUCAUGAGAGUAAGGAAUGAUGGAGAGGGAUGAGAGCGUUUUCUAGGAUUUGAAGAGUUAAGAGACUCUGAAUAAUUGGCAGGGGAAGCUGGGAUGGAGAACAAAGUAGGAGAAGAAUCAUUUGCUGUGAACUCUGUAUUUGGAUUCCAUUUUUGAUGAUCUUUGAAAAUGGGAAUAAAGGAUUUGGGUUAUUUUUAAAUUCCUUUGGAGGCUAGACAGUUUCCCUAAAUUCAGCAUUCCCUUUGAAACUAGACCGCAUGAGUCUCUGGUUUGUGCAGGGUUACCCUGGGUCAGAGUUGCCUCUAGAAUAAGCAAUGGGUAAGUCCUUGAGCUGUUGGAAGCGCAUGGAGUGCCUGACAGUCUUCUGCACAUUAGGCAUAGGGGACCCUUUUGGGGGAAGAGGAUGAAGAAUAGGAGGGGUGAUGGGAGCAUGUUGGGUUGUGCCAGUUUAAAGAGAACGUGAAAAAGAUAAGCAAGCAAAUGAGGCUGCAAAAGAGGAAUCAUGGGAGAAUGAGGAAAAUUAAGUGAUCAUAGCAUCCCUGAGGUCAAAAGAGCAGGGGUUUCAGGGAGAGUGCCAGGGCAUUAGUUAAUACAAAGAAGAGACCACUGGCUUUGCACCCUGGAGGUCAAUGCUAUCCUCUUCCUAAUCCAUUACUAUAGAGUGAUGGGGACCAGCGUUUGUGUAUUGAGGAGAUAAUGAGAAGUGUAAAUGGAAAACAACCAGAAGAUAACAAGGAUAAACAACUCUUUCAAAAAU
rnacentral:lncRNA from 1 species